rnacentral:tRNA from 1 species
GCCGCUUUAGCUCAGUUGGUAGAGCACAUUCUUGGUAAGAAUGAGGUCAUGGGUUCAAGUCCCAUAGGUGGCUCAA